GACGAACCGUGCGAACGUUAUUCGGAAUCACUGGGCUUAAACGCGCGUGUAGGCGGGACGGCACGUCUGUCGCUGAAAAUCCCCCCGGCUUAACCGGGGAACUGGCGGAGAUACGACCGUCCUGGAGGGGCGUAGGGGGGACCUGGAACUUCCGGUGGAGCGGUGAAAUGCGUUGAGAUCGGAAGGAACGCCCGUGGCGAAAGCGAGGUCCUGGACGCCUACUGACGCUGAGACGCGAAAGCCAGGGGAGCGAACGG
rnacentral:rRNA from 1 species